UGGGGAAUAUUGGACAAUGGGCGCAAGCCUGAUCCAGCCAUGCCGCGUGAGUGAUGAAGGCCUUAGGGUUGUAAAGCUCUUUCGGCGGGGACGAUAAUGACGGUACCCGCAGAAGAAGCCCCGGCUAACUUCGUGCCAGCAGCCGCGGUAAUACGAAGGGGGCUAGCGUUGUUCGGAAUCACUGGGCGUAAAGCGCUUGUAGGCGGAUCGUUAAGUCAGGGGUGAAAUCCCGAGGCUCAACCUCGGAACUGCCUCUGAUACUGGCAAUCUUUGAGUCCGGGAGAGGUGAGUGGAACUCCGAGUGUAGAGGUGAAAUUCGUAGAUAUUCGGAAGAACACCAGUGGCGAAGGCGGCUCACUGGCCCGGUACUGACGCUUAAGAGCGAAAGCGUGGGGAGCAAACAG
rnacentral:rRNA from 1 species